GAUGAACGCUAGCGGCAGGCCUAAUACAUGCAAGUCGAACGGUGUCUUCGGACAUAGUGGCGCACGGGUGCGGAACACGUAUGCAACCUACCUUACAUUGGGGGAUAGCCUUUCGAAAGGGAGAUUAAUACCGCAUAAGACAGUAGCUGGGCAUCCAGCAGCUGUUAAGGAUUUAUCGAUGUAAGCUGGGCAUGCGUCCAAUUAGCUAGUUGGUGAGGUGAGGGCGAACCAAGGCAAGGAUUGGAAGGGGAGCUGAGAGGUAAAUCCCCCAGACUGGCACUGAGAAACAGUCCGGACCACUACGGGAGGCAGCAGGAGUGAAUAUUGGGCAAGGGACGCUAUUCAGACCCAGCGAGGCCGCUUGCAGGAUGAAGGCGUUAUGCUUUGUAAACUGCUUUUAUUCAGGAUGAAGCGACUCUUGCGAGAGGCAUUGACGGUACUGUAUGAAUGGGCACCGGCUAACUCCGUGCCAGCAGCCGCCGUAAAAC
rnacentral:rRNA from 1 species